rnacentral:rRNA from 1 species
UACGUAGGGUGCAAGCGUUAAUCGGAAUUACUGGGCGUAAAGCGUGCGCAGGCGGUUUUGUAAGUCUGUCGUGAAAUCCCCGGGCUCAACCUGGGAAUUGCGAUGGAGACUGCAAGGCUAGAAUCUGGCAGAGGGGGGUAGAAUUCCACGUGUGAGCAGUGAAAUGCGUAGAGAUGUGGAGGAACACCGAUGGCGAAGGCAGCCCCCUGGGUCAAGGAUUGACGCUCAUGCACGAAAGCGUGGGGAGCAAACAGGGAUUAC